GAUAAAUUAAAAUGUUGAAAUUAGAAAGUUAAAACAAGGGACAGUAUCAAAUAUCUCGCUAUGUACACCGAGAUUAAAAAUUAUAAGAUAAUACGAUCCGCAGAAAGGAUUAUGACUUCUUUUUAUAAUGAUUAAAACAUAUUAACACUCUCAAGAUUAGAACUUUAUAUACCAGCCUAACCUUGCAAGUUUCAAUAUACAGGCAAGUUCUUGCAAUAAAAAUUGUUACCGUAUUUUCGUCACAGGAACUUGUAGCCUAAAGUAAAAUAUUCAACAACUUAAUAUAACCAAAUACUCAUAAUGUCAACAUCCAGUACAAAUCAUGAAUUCAUACCUAGCUUGAGGUUAAUCGGCAGAUAUGCAAAAUAAAUUAGAUCUUCUUCCAAGUGAACAGAGUUUUACAUGAAAACUACUACUCUCUCUGUUUCAAUUUGUUUGUCUUGCUUUCUUUUUUAGUCUCUUUAAAAAAGAACGCAUAUUUCUUUGUUUUGACAACUCUUUAAUUCCAAAUUUCCACGUGGCAUGUUUGAGACCAAUAACAACAACAACACACCCCAGUGAAAUCCCACAAAGUGGGGUACGGGGAUGUAGAGUGUACGCAGACCUUACGCCUAUCUUAGAAGGUAGGGAGACUAUUUCCGAUAGACCCUCGGUUCAAAAUACAGACAUAUUUAAGACCACAAGAUUAAAAGGGCAUUUUAGCACAUUCUGAUAUCUUUAAUACAUUAUUACUGAUAAACUCAACAUAUUUCACAAAAAAGAGAUAGAUGGGAAAAUUGUAGUGACCAUUAAGAGCUU